rnacentral:rRNA from 1 species
AUACGGAGGGUGCAAGCGUUGUUCGGAAUUACUGGGCGUAAAGCGCGCGUAGGCGGUCUGUUAUGUCAGAUGUGAAAGUCCUCGGCUCAACCGGGGAAGUGCAUUUGAAACUGGCAGACUUGAGUACUGGAGGGGGUGGUGGAAUUCCCGGUGUAGAGGUGAAAUUCGUAGAUAUCGGGAGGAAUACCGGUGGCGAAGGCGACCACCUGGUCAGAUACGGACGCUGAGGUGCGAAAGCGUGGGGAGCAAACAGGAUUAGAAACCCGAGUAGUCC